GAUUAUGGCUCAGGACGAACGCUGGCGGCGUGCCUAAUACAUGCAAGUAGAACGCUGAAGAGAGGAGCUUGCUCUUCUUGGAUGAGUUGCGAACGGGUGAGUAACGCGUAGGUAACCUGCCUUGUAGCGGGGGAUAACUAUUGGAAACGAUAGCUAAUACCGCAUAACAAUGGAUGACACAUGUCAUUUAUUUGAAAGGGGCAAUUGCUCCACUACAAGAUGGACCUGCGUUGUAUUAGCUAGUAGGUGAGGUAAUGGCUCACCUAGGCGACGAUACAUAGCCGACCUGAGAGGGUGAUCGGCCACACUGGGACUGAGACACGGCCCAGACUCCUACGGGAGGCAGCAGUAGGGAAUCUUCGGCAAUGGGGGCAACCCUGACCGAGCAACGCCGCGUGAGUGAAGAAGGUUUUCGGAUCGUAAAGCUUUGUUGUAAGUCAAGAACGGGUGUGAGAGUGGAAAGUUCACACUGUGACGGUAGCUUACCAGAAAGGGACGGCUAACUACGUGC
rnacentral:rRNA from 1 species